rnacentral:rRNA from 2 species
UUAAAUUGAAGAGUUUGAUCAUGGCUCAGAUUGAACGCUGGCGGCAGGCCUAACACAUGCAAGUCGAACGGUAGCACAGAGAGCUUGCUCUCGGGUGACGAGUGGCGGACGGGUGAGUAAUGUCUGGGAAACUGCCUGAUGGAGGGGGAUAACUACUGGAAACGGUAGCUAAUACCGCAUAACGUCGCAAGACCAAAGAGGGGGACCUUCGGGCCUCUUGCCAUCAGAUGUGCCCAGAUGGGAUUAGCUAGUAGGUGGGGUAACGGCUCACCUAGGCGACGAUCCCUAGCUGGUCUGAGAGGAUGACCAGCCACACUGGAACUGAGACACGGUCCAGACUCCUACGGGAGGCAGCAGUGGGGAAUAUUGCACAAUGGGCGCAAGCCUGAUGCAGCCAUGCCGCGUGUAUGAAGAAGGCCUUCGGGUUGUAAAGUACUUUCAGCGGGGAGGAAGGUGUUGUGGUUAAUAACCGCAGCAAUUGACGUUACCCGCAGAAGAAGCACCGGCUAACUCCGUGCCAGCAGCCGCGGUAAUACGGAGGGUGCAAGCGUUAAUCGGAAUUACUGGGCGUAAAGCGCACGCAGGCGGUCUGUCAAGUCGGAUGUGAAAUCCCCGGGCUCAACCUGGGAACUGCAUUCGAAACUGGCAGGCUAGAGUCUUGUAGAGGGGGGUAGAAUUCCAGGUGUAGCGGUGAAAUGCGUAGAGAUCUGGAGGAAUACCGGUGGCGAAGGCGGCCCCCUGGACAAAGACUGACGCUCAGGUGCGAAAGCGUGGGGAGCAAACAGGAUUAGAUACCCUGGUAGUCCACGCCGUAAACGAUGUCGACUUGGAGGUUGUGCCCUUGAGGCGUGGCUUCCGGAGCUAACGCGUUAAGUCGACCGCCUGGGGAGUACGGCCGCAAGGUUAAAACUCAAAUGAAUUGACGGGGGCCCGCACAAGCGGUGGAGCAUGUGGUUUAAUUCGAUGCAACGCGAAGAACCUUACCUACUCUUGACAUCCAGAGAACUUUCCAGAGAUGGAUUGGUGCCUUCGGGAACUCUGAGACAGGUGCUGCAUGGCUGUCGUCAGCUCGUGUUGUGAAAUGUUGGGUUAAGUCCCGCAACGAGCGCAACCCUUAUCCUUUGUUGCCAGCGGUCCGGCCGGGAACUCAAAGGAGACUGCCAGUGAUAAACUGGAGGAAGGUGGGGAUGACGUCAAGUCAUCAUGGCCCUUACGAGUAGGGCUACACACGUGCUACAAUGGCGCAUACAAAGAGAAGCGAACUCGCGAGAGCAAGCGGACCUCAUAAAGUGCGUCGUAGUCCGGAUUGGAGUCUGCAACUCGACUCCAUGAAGUCGGAAUCGCUAGUAAUCGUAGAUCAGAAUGCUACGGUGAAUACGUUCCCGGGCCUUGUACACACCGCCCGUCACACCAUGGGAGUGGGUUGCAAAAGAAGUAGGUAGCUUAACCUUCGGGAGGGCGCUUACCACUUUGUGAUUCAUGACUGGGGUGAAGUCGUAACAAGGUAACCGUAGGGGAACCUGCGGUUGGAUCACCUCCUUACC